rnacentral:rRNA from 1 species
CCUACGGGUGGCCGCAGUGGGGAAUAUUGGACAAUGGGGGGAACCCUGAUCCAGCCAUGCCGCGUGUGUGAAGAAGGCCCUCGGGUUGUAAAGCACUUUCAGUGAGGAAGAACGCCUGGUGGUUAAUACCCAUCAGGAAAGACAUCACUCACAGAAGAAGCACCGGCUAACUCCGUGCCAGCAGCCGCGGUAAUACGGAGGGUGCGAGCGUUAAUCGGAAUUACUGGGCGUAAAGCGCGCGUAGGUGGCUUGAUAAGCCGGUUGUGAAAGCCCCGGGCUCAACCUGGGAACGGCAUCCGGAACUGUCAAGCUAGAGUGCAGGAGAGGAAGGUAGAAUUCCCGGUGUAGCGGUGAAAUGCGUAGAGAUCGGGAGGAAUACCAGUGGCGAAGGCGGCCUUCUGGACUGACACUGACACUGAGGUGCGAAAGCGUGGGUAGCAAACAGGAUUAGAUACCCUAGUAGUC